GUGCCAGCCGCCGCGGUAAUACGGAGGGGGCUAGCGUUGUUCGGAAUUACUGGGCGUGAAGCGCGCGUAGGCGGCUUUGCAAGUCAGAGGUGAAAGCCCGGGGCUCAACCCCGGAAUUGCCUUUGAGACUGCAUCGCUAGAACGUCGGAGAGGUAAGUGGAAUUCCGAGUGUAGAGGUGAAAUUCGUAGAUAUUCGGAAGAACACCAGUGGCGAAGGCGACUUACUGGACGACUGUUGACGCUGAGGUGCGAAAGCGUGGGGAGCAAACAGGAUUAGAUACCCUUGUAGCC
rnacentral:rRNA from 1 species